CCCUAGCCCUGGUAGUAGCGGCAUCCUCCGAUAUACAAAAACAAAAAUUUAUUUGUAGUUUUUGAUAAUCGGAGAUACAGCGUAUAACAGGAAUUGGC
rnacentral:sRNA from 1 species